AGCAGCCGCGGUAAUUCCAGCUCCAAUAGCGUAUAUUAAAGUUGUUGCAGUUAAAAAGCUCGUAGUUGAAUUUCGGGAUUAGUACGUUGGUCGUGCCUUCGGUACGUACUGGUGUUACUGGUUCCUACCUUCUGACGAACCAUCAUGUCAUUAAUUUGGUGUGGCGGGGAAUCAGGACUGUUACUUUGAAAAAAUUGAGUGUUUAAAGCAGGCUUUAGCUUGAAUACAUUAGCAUGGAAUAAUGAAAUAGGACGUUUGAUCCUAUUUUGUUGGUUUCUAGGAUUGACGUAAUGAUUAAUAGGGAUAGUUGGGGGCAUUAGUAUUCAAUUGUCAGAGGUGAAAUUCUUGGAUUUAUUGAAGACUAACUACUGCGAAAGCAUUUGCCAAGGAUGUUUUCAUUAAUCAAGAACGAAAGUUAGGGAUCGAAGACGAUCAGAUACCGUCGUACGUCUUAACCAUAAACUAUGCCGACUAGGGAUCGGAUGAUGUUAAUUUUUACGACUCAUUCGCGCCUUACGGG
rnacentral:rRNA from 1 species